rnacentral:lncRNA from 1 species
GUACAAGACAAAGGAGUUUUGUGCUUGACUUAGGAGGUGAUCUGCCCGCCUCAGCCUCCCAAAGUGCUGAGAUUACAGACGUGAGCCACUGUGCCCGGCCAAACCUCCAAUUCUUGAAUGACAUCUGAAUAUCUACUUCUGUCCAUGUUCAUCACCACGUUCAUUGUAUUUGAAAACAUCACCUUUCUCAUCCCAGUUAUUUACUGGUCUCCUGCUUCCGCUCUUACAUAUACACACAUGGACAUGCACAUGCAUGUGGACACAGUUUAUUCUUCAUAGGGCAGCUGGGGUGAACACUUUUAACUAUAAAUCCUCUAAUGGCCUCCUACUACACUGGAAUAAAAUCCCAUCCCCUAGCCUGCUGUGGACAGUGCCUGGGCUGGCCCAGCCUCCCUCUCCUUCUACUCCUGCCCGUACUUACCAUGCUUGGGCACUCUGACAUUUGCACCAGUAACUCCCUCCAGCUGGAGUGGUCUUCCCUGAUUAUCCUGUAGCUGCAUCGUUUUUGUAAAUCAAGGUCUCAGUUUGGAGCUGCCCCCCUUAGAGAGACCUUCCUGAUCCCCAUCCUGACAGUAGGCUAUGGUCACUCUUGGCUCUGAUCAACCAGCUAUAGUUCUGCAAUAGCACUUAUUGUUCUCUGAAAUCAUAAUUUUAUACUUGUCCACUGCUUUUAUUCCCACCCAUUCCCCUAAGAUAUUUGACAAGACUUUACUUAUUCUUUCCAUUGAUGCGUAUCACUAG